UACGGUGGGUGCAAGCGUUAUCCGGAUUUACUGGGUUUAAAGGGUGCGUAGGUGGACAGGAAAGUCAGUGGUGAAAUCUUCGAGCUUAACUCGGAAACUGCCAUUGAUACUAUUUGUCUUGAAUACUUUGGAGGUAAGCGGAAUAUGUCAUGUAGCGGUGAAAUGCUCAGAUAUGACAUAGAACACCAAUUGCGAAGGCAGCUUACUACACAGUUAUUGACACUGAAGCACGAAAGCGUGGGGAUCAAACGGG
rnacentral:rRNA from 1 species